GGUUGUGUGUUCUAAUGGUUAUGAUGUCGGAUUCUGAUUCCGUAGAUCCCGGUUCGAUUCCGGGCACGACCU